AGCACUGCCUUUUUCCAUCUUCCCAUCUAGUUUGGGGAGAUUAUUUAGCCUUGUUGAUUUAUUGUGGCAUUGUUAAACUCUUGGUAUCUUGACAUCUUGAGCAUUGUUAUGAUGUGAUUAGAGAGGGUCAGAUGCCCUCUGGGGCAUUUGAAAUUGUCCUCUGGGUCUAUACAGGGUGGCAGAAGGGCAGGCAGCACGAAUUGCAUCUUUAACACAGUACAGUACUGUUUUUGCUUUGAUUCAUUCUUUGAAAGGUGAAUCAGUAAAGUCUGAUUCUUACAGAGGUCUUUACCACUUAAACUUUCCUCUCUUACUCUCUAGGUACUCAUGGUAGAGAAGGACAGCAGCACUAGUAGUUACUUGACAGCUCCAUGUGUGCAGAGUAGCUCGAAGCACUUGCUGGCUGACCAGCAGCUGACAACAGGAAUGCAGAGCAGCAGAUUCUGCUUUGCUUUCCCUUAGUGGAGGUGCUGCCUGGGUUUUUCUGUUCCACCCAGCUGCCCUUUCCCUCAAACUUGUAGGAAUCUGGUGACUUUGAGACUCUGCCUCAUUCUGAAAUUCAGUUGGAAUUGGUUAGUGUGUCUCUGUUGGGACCUCAGCACCAGUAAGUGUGAUUUAAAAAACUUUGGUUUGUUCAGAAGCCAGAGCAGUAACGUGAAUGUUGUAGCUGAGCUGCUGUAUUCAAGACUUGGAAGGACUGUGGGGAACAGAAUAACAUCUUGAAUGCAAAGCUGGAGAAGGAUAACCUGCAGGGGACAUAUUUGGAGCAUUUCUUAUCAAGAGGCACUAAGAGACUAGAUGAGGACUCAUUACUUGAAAGAGUCCAUAGCAUGUUCUACCUCUUAUUAACAGAUGGUUCUAGGAGGCAACCGUGGAAAUGCAAACUCAUGCGUGUUUGUGCUUGCUCUGCCUGUGCCUGGUGCCUCCCCUGGCAGCACUUACUGGCAUAAUCUGUUAGAAAUUUAACCUUUUGCUUGAGGUAUUGUUACAGAGGCUGGUAUACUUCAUCCCAUUGCCUGUGAAAAAUAUUUGUUUCCCACCCCCCACCCCGCCCAAUGCUCUUCCCAAGAAGAAGGAAUUCUGUCAGAAUGGUAGGGAAGCACUGGGUGUAGGAUCUCACACUUGUGACAGGCAAACUUUCUUCUGUUCUAAGUUUUUCUGUGCUUUCAUUGCCGGGAUUGUCCACACAAUCCUCUACCCCAAUUACCCAUUGAUUAGGGCUUCUCUGGUAAUCUGCCAGAUGCAGGUUUGUUACCAACAGAUGGUAGAAAGCAUUUGAGGUAAUGAGAGAAAGGAUAACGAUUGCUGAUCUGCAUAAUAAUCAGCUUGUGAACAGGUUUCAUGUUUUUUUCUGUUUCCACUGGCUCAAAGAUUGCACUGUCGGACAACCAGGCACCUUCUCUUGAGUUAAAGAAAUAGUAAUGGAGGAACCCAUUUCUUCCAGUUACUGUUAAGGUUUCUGAAGAUACAGGUACUCUCCACCACUGACAGAUUAAGAUUUUAUCCGGAGAGUCAGAGAUUGUGCCCGGAGUGCUGGGAAUGAACAUUCAAUCUUGUGAUCAAGACAUCUAAGCAGUGUGGUCAGAAAUAUUUUCCCUUCUCUUUUUUUCUGAGACAAUUUUUCCCAGCUCUAUCACAAGGCAGGGGGAUCUUUGACCCCCUUGGGACCAGCAUCACCUUUUCACUGUCCAGUGCCUAGUGUGAAAAAAUUCCACUUUCCAGUGCUACGUGUUUUGGAGUUCUUCAAUUCAUUUCUCCUGCUUUGCACAAUGAGACAGCCACGCUGUUGCCAUAUGCAAGUCUACACCCAAACUGUUCCGGAGCCCUUGCAGGAAGAAUCUUCUCUGACAUACUCUAGAGCAGUGUUACUGCAGUUACAUACCUCAUAACUCACUGGUUUCCUAUGCUAUACAAGACUUGUAAUAUGGAUUUUUACUGUUUGACAUCUAUAUACAUCUAGACUGUUCUUAUCAGUAAUUGUCCCUAUAUGAAACGAGCCAUGUAACACCCAAAAGUCAGCUUGGUGCCAUUCACUGUGAAUUUUGGUAAAGGAUUUGGGUUGAAGAACUUUCUCAAAAAGUAGCCUUACACAUAUGCAGUAGGUGCUAAUGCUGGGCUGUUCUCCAUUUGUUACCCCAGCGGGGCUGGUAGACACAGUGGACAGAUUUCCAUCGACCCCUUUUAGUUUGGAAUCCCUCUCCUUGUUCGAAAUCUAGAUGGAGUUUUUUGAAAUCUGGACUUGAUUCCACGGAAUAGUAACUGCAGGUGACUUCCUUGAGGAUCCUUUCUUUCUACCCUGGGUGCUGAUAAUGCAGCAGCCCCCUGCCAGUUCUCUGGAAUGUUGUUUAUCACAAUCUCAUCUGUAUCAUACACAGCCAUGCACUUGCAAUUUUAGUGUCUGAAUCUUACAAGGCAAUCUUGUAAGACACUCUACCCCUGUCACUGUGUUGCAGCCGUAUAACGUGAAGGAAAGGGAGGAUUUCUAUUUAUUGAGCUUACACUCUCAAGCACAAGGCUUUGCUAUUAAAUCGUGAUGCUCUGCUGCAGAUACUGAUGUUGGUUACAGGAUUUUCCUGUCCUGGUUUCUAGGGAAACGACGCCUGGGUGUCUGAGCUCCUGCACAUUUGUUGUAUCCUUUAUUCCCCGGCCCCCCAUAUCAGUGUGUUCCCUCUAUGAUUUAUGAAUCUGUUUGCCAGGUGCAAUUUUAUUGGACACAUACAUUGUAAAGUAGCUGGCUUCCUGCAAGUUCCCUGAAAACAGGUGAUGGGGAGUGACUCUUAUUUGUGGCUCCAUAGACAACACCCAUGGUUUAUGCUCCGAGUUUGAGGUACUAGAGAAUCCAUGUGCAAGAAAAAUUGGGAGGCUGUGGCCAGAGGAAGAACUUCCUCCAAACUGGGAUUUCCUAGACACAUGCAAGUCCAAGUGCUAAAUCAUGCAACAGCCGCCUUCUCUAAUUGACUCCUGCAACUGUGUGUGAGAAUUAGUCACUGUAGUACUGCAGGGGAAGAAAACCCAGGUCUGUGUAUUUUUUGGAGACUACCUGUGACUGUCCCAGUUUAACGCCACUACAUUACAGGCUAUCCUUGUAGGUGAGACACUUUAUUAAUACUUUCUGCUUAUUUUCUGGGGAGGGAAUGGCUGAACCAUUUCCUGUGCUAGAGACCAAUGUUUUUAAAGAGAGAUGGGAGCUUUUAGCCGUUCUGCGGAACAGGUGACCCCUGAUUUGAGUCUUGCCCAGAAGCCUUACAGGGAGGGAGAAAAGCCUGAGGCAGAGAUUUCAUGUGCAUCUGACCUGGUGUUCAUUUCUUUUGGCUUGUGGAUAACACCAGCGGGCAAUAAGACCCAACAAGGAACGUGUAGGGAGGGAAGAGGUGGGAAAAGAGAGAAGGACUGUCAUCUCUUGGUGAUGGUGAGCUCUUUAGUUUACUGUAUCUCAGGCUGCUGAGAGUUUGGAUAUGUAAAGAUAAUGUGUAUUCCUAAGGCAGGAUCUCUCUGGAUGGAAACAAUAAUCAUGACAAAUGGGAGUCGAUUGCGAGAGUGUGUGUAUCCUGACAGCAGCAUACUGGGUGAAAAACAGACUUCUUGGAACUGCUCAGUGUAAGUAAAAACAAGUGUGUGUGGUGGGGGUGUUUUGGUUUUUUUUUUACGUUUCUCCCAAAGAGCACUGUCUGUUAAUACUACUUCUUUCUUUGCUGGUACCCAGAGACCUGCCUGGUGUUAACCGAUUCCAGGGCAGUCAGCGGACUUCAAGGUGCAGCAUUGCUGCAGGGUUUCCUGCCACGGGAAAUCGGGGCACACUGGGGCAGGACGGCUUCUUUGAGUCUGCACGGGUCACUUGGAAGAUGGUGGCAGUGCAGGGUGCUGGUAAAGGGCAGAGCUCUUUGUCAGGCAGCAGGGACUGGGGUGAGGUGCCCCUGGUUCUCAGAUGCAGCUUCUUUAGCUGGGUUAGGGGUCGGGGGGAAAGGGAGGCUUUCCAGGAGAAGAGCUGGAGUCUGGACGGUGUCCGUCUCCCCCCACCCCGUUAAUCUUCCCAAAAGGCAGUUACAUUUGUUAGCUGGUAGAGCUGAGUUACUUGACUGCUGGCUGAGGGUGAUGCUGCUGAGCUUGGUGCCUCCUGAGGGAGGUUGAGCCUGCUCCUGCCAUUGAAUUCCCAGGGACCAUGUGUGGGUUGCAGCUGUCACGCUAGUUACAAUACUUCACAAGAUGUACUGGAGCUUCUGCACCAACCUUUUAAAUUAGGGAAUGGAGAGUGUUUAUUUAGGGGACAAAUAGAAGUGCCCCUAGAGUACAAAAACAAAAGCAGAGGAGCUUUAAUGUUUUUAAGAGCAUCUCUCUUUGUAAGUUACCUUGAAAGUGUUCUCAAGGCUGCUCUGCAGUGUAAUGUUGCUUCAAGCCCAUACAAGACCAAAAAUGCUGCUCUUUAGCAGGUAAAACAGAUGCUCCAAUGAAUGAGGCUGCAUUGCUUAAGGCAGCAUGUUCAAUGAAGCAGUAUCCAGAACCUUUCCUGCUGGCAAAAGUGAAGCUAAGCUUAGAAGCCACUGAGCUGCUGUUAAUAGCUUAUCACGGAUAUUUUCUCUCUGCUGUUAUCCUGGCUUUGGUCCACCUGGUAGUACUGUGCGGCUUUGGUCCACCUGGUAGUACUGUGCAGCUCCUGUGAACGAUGUCCUGUGCAGUCUUUUUAUUAGACAGCAGAGAGGUGCAGGGGGUUAUGUUCAAAAGCAGUUGUUUUGUUAUUGGUUACAGUACAUCUAAAUGUUUCUCUGACCUUCGUGCCUUGGAAAUGACCGUAACCAAAAGGAGAAAAAGGGAUUAGAGAACAGUAUAAUACAGGUUGAAGGACUCUUCAUGCAGUCAAUACCUUUUUCUUAAAACUGAUGCAAACCAGAACCCAAUAAAAUAGCCCACGGUAAGUUGUUGUUUGCUUAAUGCUUUUGUUCUUUGAAGGUGUAAACAACUCAAUGCAUCUUCCUGGUUCUGAUACUUGCCUAAUGUGUGGCCUUUGAGUCAUGUGAUGAUAAGAUAAAAUGGGAAGAAUGGUACCCGCAGCAGAUGGCUGUGUGGCUGUUUCAGACUCGUAUAGAAAAUGGGAAUAUAAGACGGGCUUAUUUCUGAGUCAGGAAAAGCUCUGUCACCGUGUCUAUGAAGGGGAUGGGAAGGGGAAGGCUCCCAAAGAAAGUGUGUUGGAGGUUUUCUGUCCUCUGCCUGGAUUUCUGCCAGAGCUGGUGAUGGAGUGAGCGCUGUGACAGAUUAAAAUUACACUAAUCCAGAUCAUCCAGAAAUGUGAGACCCCCAAUCACGCAUGGGCAGGCCAGGAACUUGGACUGUUUCUGUUCUACAAAAGAAAAUACUUUUCCCUAAUGUUCCAGUGGGACUAUCUUAUUGCAGCCCAGUGACCUCACUGUGAGCACCUAGUAAGUCCCUGGUGGUUUCUUGCUGCUCUUGCUUCACAUCUUCAUUCCUCAGGAACUGGGAAGUACUUUAAAGGCUGCGAUCUAGGGGCAACUCACCUAUUCAGUGUUUCAUAGAUGAAUGCUUCUGGUCCCUUAGAUGUAUGGCAUGUUUGCACCUUGAUCAAGAUGUGCUUAAGUCUUUGAAAAUUGUUAUUUAUAAAAGCAGCACCUGCAGUGAUUGUCUGACUGCCCUAAGCCCAGGCUUGGGAGUUCAAGGUGGAGAUAUUUUGCUUGAGCGUUAUCAGACAGUUCCUGUCGUACAGUCUCAGCAGGGCCUGGACCACUCAGUGCUUCUGAGGAAGGCAGCGCUUCCAUGGGCUGCUUUGGUUCAUCAUUCAGUGUGUUAUGGUUGAAAUAACAUGUGCCUGUACUGCACCAACACAGCAGCUGAGCUUUCCUUGCCUGCCCAAAACACGAGCUUGUGGUCAUUUUUUUCUGCUUUUCUUUUCAGUUUAGCUUGUGCUUAUCCUUUUCUUGGGGUGUUUUCCUGUAUUACAUCAGGGCAUCAUCUUGUCUAUUCUGAGACAUCUCAUGACUGCAUUUUUUUGUCUUUUUUUAAUCUGUCUAGUAGGACUAAUUCUCUCUGGCACAUGGAAUAGUUUGGGCUUCAGUCUGGCACUACAGGUGAAAUGCAGUUGUAGUAUGUCAAAAUAGAGGGGAGAGGGGUUUCUGCUCUGAGGACUGGGCGUGCUGGAACUGAACAACUUUGUGCAUGUACAAGAACUAGCACUGAGUGCUUCACCUGCAGUCAUGCCAGUUCCUCUGUCAGUCUGCUCCUGGUUUCCCUUGUUAUAAAAAGCAGCAAAUGCACUUUCACCAAACAUCUAUGCACAAUUCUUUUACAAUGACAGGGUAUCACACAGCCCCUUCCCCGCUGACCUUUUUGACUCUUUGGGCACAAAGAACGUCAUCAUCACUGUGGGCAUACCUUACAGAUAAUUUUUUUUUUCCCCCUGGGUUAAAAAGACAGCCUUCUUAGAGAGGUAGACUAUGCAUCUCUUGUCAGCUUUUGUAAAAUAGGAAUAAGAGCAAAAACUGCAGGAAAGCAAUGAAAGAACAUGCUGUUCCUGUGGUGUUCCUGCACGUGUUUAGAUGUUGCAGUUCAGUCGUGAAAGGCAAGGUGCUGAGACAGAAGGUGUCAAGGGCUUUCACACAGUCUUGCUACUCAGAGAGCAGGCCUCUGAUGCCAUGAGACCAAGAAGUCUUGAUACUUCAAAAAUUAGGUUCUUUUGCUGCUUUUUUGGGUCUCCAGCAUUUGUUACACUUCCCUUUAUAGUAGAGAAGGACAGAAGCUAACUUUGAAAAUAAAAGUGUUUCAUCAUGAUCUGUUUUCAGGGUUUGGGUUUAAAAAAAAAAAGAAAAGGUGAAAAGAAAGAUGUGAGGGAUGGUGACAAUGACUGUUCAUCUUGCUUUAUCAAGCUUUUCUGUACCAAUGAUCAUGUGAGGAAGACGCAGCUGUGAUCUAAAUGUGGAGCCAUACUGCACAGCCACAACUUUGACAUGAGCUGUGACUGUAUGUGCAACACGCGGUGAUGCCACAUGGGUCUCGGAGUCCCCCGGGCUUGCCUGGGGGGGCCCCAGCCCCAUAACUGCAUGCCCGUUUCUGUGUAACUGAUACCCUCGGCCUUGUGCAAGAAGAAAAGUUAAUGCCAUUCCUUGACUAAAGCGGUGCCAUUUUUUCCCCCUAACGAGCCCCUGCCAAAUGCUGUAUCUGAAAAGAAUCUUUAUUGUGUGCAAAUUUUCCUCUGCAGAUUACAGGCUGAUUUAUCCCCCGUGGGUCAAGGGGAGAGUGCCAGGAAAGGGAAGAAUUAGUUUCUGCCUUUUCAAGACUAAUCCUGAAACGCAAGUGAUCGCAUGCUAGAAGGUGUUUCUGUACUUUUUUUGAGAAUUAUUAAUAUAAUCCCAUACAGCUGUUGUGCUAGCAUGUUCCUUCUCUCUUCUGGCGCCAGAUCGGGUCCCUGGAUUUUGAAGGCCUGUAUAGGAAACCUCUACACCUGGCUGUACAAAAUGUUUCUGCUUGCAAUGAAACUCAGCAAAUCCCAAUACCCUGCGUUAGCAUUACUGCCUCUGUGCUACAGAGGGUCUUGUUAAAGCUUUGGCCAUGUGUAGGGUGCUCAGGUUGGCUUCCCCUGAACCGCAGCAAAGUAGGAGGUAUUUAGAUAGAGGAGCUUCACCUUUGUUUUGUUGGGGGCACUGGAGCUCCCGAGUCCUCAUCUGGCAUCAGGAUAGCACUAGAAUCGAGUGGUGGUCUGUCUGCUGUAGAUUUUGUCCUGAACGAGAUUGAUUUGCAAAAACCAAUGAGGGUGGGGGAAGAGAGGGGAGGGAAAAAAUAAUCUGGUGCAAACACAAAUAAUCUGUGUGUGCUAUUGCACCAGGAUGUAUUUGCCACAUUUCUGUGGGAAUUUAUUUUUCCUUUCCUAAAAGAGAGGAAAGGGGAGAAAUAGCCACCAUUUUCCUUUAAUUUAGGCAUGUUUUUUAAAUUGAGAGAGAUCUGGAAAUUUGAACUGCUUUUGCAACCCCCACUGUAACAAUUCAGGCUGCUCACAAAGCUUCCAGGCUCCUCUACCUCUCCAGCGCUGUUUUUCCAGUGAUGGAGAAAUCUAUAGUUCUGGCCCUGUGGCAUUUUUUAGAGGCGGUAGGGAUGUUAAUGCCAGAAUCUUGGCGACUUUCCAACCAGAGUAAUUACAUUCUGCCGACCUGAAAUUCUUCCUGCUUCUACACAAGGUCACUUUAGGCACUGACAGAGCCAGGGCUACAACCCGAUGCCCUGCUUUGCCCUCCCCUCCAUCCCCUUGGUGUACCCUCCAGUCACCUUCCCCUCAAAGGAACAGAGGGCUCCUUGCUCGCUCUAAGGUACCCAUUGCCCCGUAAAAAUUGAGCUGAGGAAGCGGGUCUAAGCAAAUCCCCUGAACUGCUGUCAUUAGGUUUUGAAGUGUGACCCGAUAUCCCGCUUCCUUUGAUAAGUCAGGGGCUGGUAUUUGUAACAGACAGUGGCUCUUUUCUUGUUCUCCCUUCAGCUCUUUUUGGAGCCAGUGUGGCACAGCUAAUUUGUGGAGGAAAUUACAUUUAUUACUUUUCCUAGCAAAUGCUCCCUCUCUGCAAUGCCGUUUCGUGCAGUGUAAGGCAGAUGCAAGUCAGCCGGCCCAUUUUCCUAAUUUCAUUUGGAAGGAUCAAGAGACACCAUGCUGGUCUCGCAGGCUGGGGGCUCAGUCUAGAAAGAAAAGGCGCAGCAGGCUCCUGCAUUGAUGGAAUCUAUGGCAUCGCCCCAAAUGUUGGUUGUCCAAAAAAAAAAAAUAAAUCUCAAGGACAAAGUAUAUCCUUCCAAAAACAGAACAAACUGCCCCAACAAAACCAAACCAGCCUUUGUGGCAGCCCUGACUGAGAGAAAGGGAUCUGGUGUAGGGGCAGUAACUCGGCCGUUGUUCCAGUGUAGAUCUGCUUUUGCUGCCUUUGCCUUCCUGUUCUGCAAGGCAGAGCUGGCAAAACCCUUGACCAGGGAACUCUGAUAUUCAAGGCAAAUCUUUUUGCAUGCCAUGUCUGCACUGUCUCCUCUGUGACUGUGUGCAGACCUAAUUCUCCAGCCACUAAUCCCACAGGUCUUUGUGUAUUAAUUCUUUACGGUGCCUCUGUGCUUGCUUUCCUCCUAUGCCUCGCCUCUCUUUGAUGUCCCAUGCUUGCAGGUUUUUAAAAUGACACAACCUAAGAAGAUUUGGGAGGGGAUAAAACAUGUGGGAGAGACAUGCGGGCCGGCUUGGGUACUGUUUUUGUUGUAAGAAUGCUCUUACUUGAAAUUGCAGAGUUAUCCUCAUCUACGCUCUCUGUUUUCCUCUUACCUCCCUUUGCCUCUCACUUUUGUCCGAUUGUUUCUCGUAGGGAGGAGGUGCUAGAAAGAGGCACGCUAAUCAUACCUGCUAUAUUUAUACAGGGGUGGUUUGGACAGGCAGACGUCGGGAUAGUCUUUCAAGCUUUGUGAGUUCAGCAGUGCUGUUAAAGAAAAUGUUACAGGACUUGGACUCAAAUUUGUCAUUCUUGUUAGAAAGUGGUAAAAAGUGAACAGCCAUUCAGAACAAACACCCGCACCACCUCCACCCCAGACUGAAUUUAACAUUUGUGUGGGUUUAAAAAAGUUAUGUGAAGAGUCAGGAAGAAGUAAUUGCUUUUCUACUUUAAUCAGACCUAAGCCAGUCCUCUGUGAAGGCUUAAUUUGCAGUGGAUGAGGCUAGAUUUGAUGCUGUCUUUUGAAACACCUAAGACAGAAGUGCUGGGACAAAGUCAGGGCUGCAAAUAAUGUGAAAUCGCAUGAAUAGCAUGCAGCUAACUAGCAGAACUAAAGGUGUAAAAGACUCAUCUAAUAGGGAAAGCAGAUGACAACCUAAUAUUAAAGCUGGUUUUGAAAACAUAUUAACCCAAUUUUUAACCUUGCAGUCAGUUGCCUCAAAAUACCACUGACUUUGGCUUAGAGCCAAAGCAUUGCUAUCCUACACGGAAUUACAAUAACCUAUAAAUAGGCAAACUUAGAAAACAAAAGAAAAAUAGAAAUCAGCACAUUUGA